GUGUCAGCCGCCGCGGUAAUACGGAGGGUGCAAGCGUUGUUCGGAAUUACUGGGCGUAAAGGGCGCGUAGGCGGUUUGAUAAGUCAGAUGUGAAAGCCCACGGCUUAACCGUGGAAGUGCAUUUGAAACUGUCAGACUUGAGUACCAGAGGGGAAAGUGGAAUUCCCGGUGUAGAGGUGAAAUUCGUAGAUAUCGGGAGGAAUACCGGUGGCGAAGGCGACUUUCUGGCUGGAUACUGACGCUGAGGCGCGAAAGCGUGGGGAGCAAACAGGAUUAGAAACCCGCGUAGUCC
rnacentral:rRNA from 1 species